rnacentral:misc_RNA from 1 species
GAUGAAGAACGUAGCGAAAUGCGAUAAGUAAUGUGAAUUGCAGAAUUCAGUGAAUCAUCGAAUCUUUGAAUGCACAUUGCGCCCGCCAGUAUUCUGGCGGGCAUGCCUGUUCGAGCGUCAUUUCAACCCUCAAGCCCCCGGGCUUGGUGUUGGGGAUCGGCGUGCCCUCGCGGCGCGCCGUCCCCUAAAUCUAGUGGCGGUCUCGCUGUAGCUUCCUCUGCGUAGUAGCAACACUCGCACUGGAUCGCAGCGCGGCCACGCCGUUAAACCCCCCACUUCUGAAAGUUUGACCUCGGAUCAGGUAGGAAUACCCGCUGAACUUAAGCAUAUCAAUAAGCGGAGGA